GGUGAGGAAUAGGGUAAGGACGGAAUCAUGGACUCUAAAUGUUUCAAUGAGCCACGUCAUCCAUGAGUACCGGUGGACCAAUGAGAAUGAAAGACACAGAGUGAGCAUGAAACAGAAGAUUAUUGCUUGCUGUUGCAGUUCUAUAUGGUGGGAAAGCGAUCACACUUAACACAGAAUAACACACAUCAUAACUUAACACAACACAACAGUGGUAAGGAAACAAGAACUGAAGUGAUUGUUUCUCUUUUCCCAUAAAAAAGCAUGGAGGAUGGUGCGGUGGGGUUGUUGGUUUAACGUAGAGGGUUGUUGUCUUUUCGUUUGACUUGUUCUCGAGGCUUCUUGAAAAAAGGGUGUGUGAGGCAUUCUCAGUUGUCCGUCACCAUGUCUCACAAUCAUUCUCCAAUGGAUGUCGAUGGUGAGAAGUGUUACGAGAGCACCAAUCGUAAAAGAGGGUCCAGGAAAAGAAAGCUUCUUGUCAACGAGAGAGUCGAGGUAAUGCCAUGUCUGAAUCUUCUCUUUUGUUUUUUUUUUUUUUUUGUAAAGACAGUCUUUAUAGUUUAUGGAUUUCUGGGUCUUCCUUUGAUGACGAGUUGCUCAGUUCUUUUGUUCUUGGUAUAUCAGUUAUCCGGCACUUGCUUUUUCAUGGGUUUUGUUUUGUUUUUAUGUUUUUGUUUAUCUUUAUGAUCCUUUGAUGUUCUGUUGUCGAUUUUCGGUUUUCAUACGUUUACACAAUUUUACACCCUCCAAAUUGUUGGUUUCUUGGUUGAACCCUCGUCUACGGUUUCCUUUGAAUUCUCA
rnacentral:lncRNA from 1 species